UACAGAGGUCCCAAGCGUUGUUCGGAUUCAUUGGGCGUAAAGGGUGCGUAGGUGGUGCCGUAAGUUGGAUGUGAAAUCUCAGGGCUUAACCCUGAAACUGCAUUCAAUACUGCGGUGCUCGAGUACUGGAGAGGAGAUUGGAAUUCACGGUGUAGCAGUGAAAUGCGUAGAUAUCGUGAGGAAGACCAGUGGCGAAGGCGGAUCUCUGGACAGUUACUGACACUGAGGCACGAAGGCCAGGGGAGCAAACGGG
rnacentral:rRNA from 1 species